rnacentral:rRNA from 1 species
GCUCAGGAUGAACGCUAGCUACAGGCUUAACACAUGCAAGUCGAGGGGUAGCAGGGUAGCAAUACCGCUGACGACCGGCGCACGGGUGAGUAACACGUAUCCAACCUUCCCACAACUCGGGGAUAGCCUUUCGAAAGAAAGAUUAAUACCCGAUAGUACUUUUUUAGGGCAUCCUAGAAAAGUUAAAGAUUUAUUGGUUAUGGAUGGGGAUGCGUUCCAUUAGAUAGUUGGUGAGGUAACGGCUCACCAAGUCUUCGAUGGAUAGGGGUUCUGAGAGGAAGGUCCCCCACAUUGGUACUGAGACACGGACCAAACUCCUACGGGAGGCAGCAGUGAGGAAUAUUG